ACGAACGCUGGCGGCGUGCCUAACACAUGCAAGUCGAGCGGAGACAUGCGACGAAGCGGAAGUUUUCGGAUGGAAGCAGAGAUGCAUGUUUUAGCGGCGGACGGGUGAGUAACGCGUGAGCAACCUGUCCCUUACUGGGGGAUAACACAGCGAAAGUUGUACUAAUACCGCAUGAGACCACGGUGGGACAUCCCACAGGGGUCAAAGGAGCAAUCCGGUAAGGGGUGGGCUCGCGUCCGAUUAGAUAGUUGGUGAGGUAACGGCCCACCAAGUCGACGAUCGGUAGCCGACCUGAGAGGGUGAUCGGCCACAUUGGGACUGAGACACGGCCCAAACUCCUACGGGAGGCAGCAGUGGGGAAUAUUGGGCAAUGGGGGAAACCCUGACCCAGCAACGCCGCGUGAGGGAAGAAGGUUUUCGGAUCGUAAACCUCUGUCCUUGGUGAAGAGGAAGAGACGGUAGCCAAGGAGGAAGCCCCGGCUAACUACGUGCCAGCAGCCGCGGUAAUACGUAGGGGGCAAGCGUUGUCCGGAAUGAUUGGGCGUAAAGGGCGCGUAGGCGGCCCGGUAAGUCUGGAGUGAAAGUCCUGCCUUCAAGGUGGGAAUUGCUUUGGAUACUGUCGGGCUUGAGUGCAGGAGAGGUAAGUGGAAUUCCCAGUGUAGCGGUGAAAUGCGUAGAGAUUGGGAGGAACACCAGUGGCGAAGGCGACUUACUGGACUGUAACUGACGCUGAGGCGCGAAAGUGUGGGGAGCAAACAGGAUUAGAUACCCUGGUAGUCCACACUGUAAACGAUGAAUGCUAGGUGUAGGGGGUAUCGACCCCUUCUGUGCCGCAGUCAACACAAUAAGCAUUCCGCCUGGGGGAGUACGGCCGCAAGGUUGAAACUCAAAGGAAUUGACGGGGGGCCCGCACAAGCAGCGGAGCAUGUGGUUUAAUUCGACGCAACGCGAAGAACCCUACCAGGUCUUGACAUCCAGUUAAAGCAUAAGAGACUAUGUGUGUGCUUGCACAAACUGAGACAGGUGGUGCAUGGUUGUCGUCAGCUCGUGUCGUGAGAUGUUGGGUUAAGUCCCGCAACGAGCGCAACCCUUACAUUCAGUUACUAACGUGUGAAGGCGAGGACUCUGAAUGGACUGCCGGGGACAACUCGGAGGAAGGUGGGGACGACGUCAAAUCAUCAUGCCCCUUAUGACCUGGGCUACACACGUGCUACAAUGGCCACCACAGA
rnacentral:rRNA from 1 species